rnacentral:rRNA from 1 species
GAUGAACGCUGGCGGCGUGCCUAAUACAUGCAAGUCGAGCGAACAGACGAGGAGCUUGCUCCUCUGACGUUAGCGGCGGACGGGUGAGUAACACGUGGAUAACCUACCUAUAAGACUGGGAUAACUUCGGGAAACCGGCGCUAAUACCGGAUAAUAUAUUGAACCGCAUGGUUCAAUAGUGAAAGACGGUUUUGCUGUCACUUAUAGAUGGAUCCGCGCCGCAUUAGCUAGUUGGUAAGGUAACGGCUUACCAAGGCAACGAUGCGUAGCCGACCUGAGAGGGUGGUCGGCCACACUGGAACUGAGACACGGUCCAGACUCCUGCGGGAGGCAGCAGUAGGGAAUCUUCCGCAAUGGGCGAAAGCCUGACGGAGCAACGCCGCGUGAGAGAUGAAGGUCUUCGGAUCGUAAAACUCUGUUAUUAGGGAAGAACAAAUGUGUAAGUAACUAUGCACGUCUUGACGGUACCUAAUCAGAAAGCCACGGCUAACUACGUG